AUGAAAAGGCUAGUGUACACCAUACUGGGGCUUUUGUUUGCCCAGGUUUGCUGUGUGCGAGGGAUGGAUGUGGAGCAGAGUCCCCCAGCCCUGAGUCUGCAGGAGGGAGCCAGCUCUACUCUGCGGUGUAAUUUCUCCAUCUUCCCAAACAAUGUGCAGUGGUAUCUUCAGAACCCCGGGGGCCGCCUCAUCCACCUGUUUUACAUUCCUUCAGGGACAAAGCAGGAUGGAAGAUUAAAUGCCACGACAGUCCCUAAAGAACGCCGCAGCUCACUGCACAUUUCCUCUUCGCGGACCACAGACUCGGGCACCUACUUCUGUGCUGCUCAGCACGGUGCUCCCCAGGCACCUGCAGCCUCUGCACGAACCCUCCCGGGGCUCAGCCCCUCCUCCAGCCUCAGUCACACCAUGAGGCCCCCACAGGGCAUUUUCAGUGCUUCAUGUUACUCACCUGCAUCAGAACAGCUUUAACCAUAGACCCUUCUUGGCCCUACAGGUUACGAACUUCGGCGUCUAUCUCCCCUUCUCAGUCUGUCUCCUUUUGCAAUAGAAACUUUGAACUGGGAACUAGCAGAGUAGUUGAUACGAGGAUAGAAUUAAAAUAAAUAUUUAACCACAGCUUCCCAGGUGGCUCAGUGGUAAAGAAUCUGCUUACCAAUGCAGGAGACGCAGGAGACAUGGGUUCGAUCCCUGGGCUGGCAAGAUCCUCUGGAGGAGGAAACGGUAACCCACUCCAGUAUUCUUGGGAAAGACUGGGAAAGCUCAUGGACAGAGGAGCCUGGUGGGCUAACAGUCCAUGGGGUCUCAAAGAGUUGGACUGACUGAGUGACCGAGCAUGCAUGCUGAACUCAGAAAUGUUAAAAAGUGAAAGGAAUGAAAUGAAAUCACUCC